GUGGGGAAUAUUGGGCAAUGGGCGCAAGCCUGACCCAGCAACGCCGCGUGAAGGAAGAAGGCUUUCGGGUUGUAAACUUCUUUUACCAGGGACGAAACAAAUGAUGGUACCUGGUGAAUAAGCCACGGCUAACUACGUGCCAGCAGCCGCGGUAAUACGUAGGUGGCGAGCGUUAUCCGGAUUUAUUGGGUGUAAAGGGCGUGUAGGCGGGACAGCAAGUCAGAUGUGAAAACCAGAGGCUCAACCUCUGGCCUGCAUUUGAAACUGUUGUUCUUGAGUGUCGGAGAGGUAAUCGGAAUUCCGUGUGUAGCGGUGAAAUGCGUAGAUAUACGGAGGAACACCAGUGGCGAAGGCGGAUUACUGGACGAUAACUGACGCUGAGGCGCGAAAGCGUGGGGAGCAAACAGGAUUAGAUACCCCAGUAGUCC
rnacentral:rRNA from 1 species